GACGAACGCUGGCGGCGUGCUUAACACAUGCAAGUCGAGCGGUAAGGCCCUUUCGGGGGUACGACGAGCGGCGAACGGGUGAGUAACACGUGGGUGACCUGCCCUCAGCUCUGGGAUAAGCCUGGGAAACCGGGGCUAAUACCGGAUAUGACUUCGAGCGGCAUCUCUCGAAGUGGAAAGAUUUAUCGGCUAAGGAUGGGCCCGCGGCCUAUCAGCUUGUUGGUGGGGUAAUGGCCUACCAAGGCGACGA
rnacentral:rRNA from 1 species